AGAGUUUGAUCAUGGCUCAGGACGAACGCUGGCGGCGUGCCUAAUACAUGCAAGUCGAGCGGACCUUUCGGGGUCAGCGGCGGACGGGUGAGUAACACGUGGGCAAUCUGCCCGAUACUCUGGGAUAACGCUUGGAAACGAGUGCUAAUACCGGAUGGUCUUCUUGGCCGCAUGGCCGGGAAGGAAAAGACGCGUUCGCGUCGGUGUCGGAUGAGCCCGCGGCGCAUUAGCUAGUUGGUGAGGUAACGGCCCACCAAGGCGACGAUGCGUAGCCGACCUGAGAGGGUGACCGGCCACACUGGGACUGAGACACGGCCCAGACUCCUACGGGAGGCAGCAGUAGGGAAUCUUCCACAAUGGGCGAAAGCCUGAUGGAGCAACGCCGCGUGAGUGAUGAAGGCCUUCGGGUUGUAAAACUCUGUCAUUCGGGACGAACCGGAGUCUGAGGAAAUGCAGACUCUCUGACGGUACCGGAGGAGGAAGCCCCGGCUAACUACGUGCCAGCAGCCGCGGUAAUACGUAGGGGGCAAGCGUUGUCCGGAUUCACUGGGCGUAAAGCGCGCGCAGGCGGUGAUGUAAGUCUGAGGUGAAAACCCGAAGCUCAACUUCGGGACUGCCUUGGAUACUGCGUCACUUGAGGAUAGGAGAGGCAAGGGGAAUUCCACGUGUAGCGGUGAAAUGCGUAGAGAUGUGGAGGAACACCUGUGGCGAAGGCGCCUUGCUGGCCUAUUUCUGACGCUGAGGCGCGAAAGCGUGGGGAGCAAACAGGAUUAGAUACCCUGGUAGUCCACGCUGUAACGAUGAGUGCUAGGUGUAGGUGGGCUCAUACCCAUCUGUGCCGAAGCUAACGCAUUAAGCACUCCGCCUGGGGAGUACGGUCGCAAGACUGAAACUCAAAGGAAUUGACGGGGGCCCGCACAAGCAGUGGAGCAUGUGGUUUAAUUCGAAGCAACGCGAAGAGCCUUACCAGGACUUGACAUCCCAUAGACCAGUCUAGAGAUAGACUUUCCCUUCGGGGCUGUGGUGACAGGUGGUGCAUGGUUGUCGUCAGCUCGUGUCGUGAGAUGUUGGGUUAAGUCCCGCAACGAGCGCAACCCUUACUUUGUGUUGCCAGCAUUCAGUUGGGCACUCACAAGGGACUGCCGCCGAUAAGGCGGAGGAAGGUGGGGAUGACGUCAAAUCAUCAUGCCCCUUAUGUCCUGGGCUACACACGUGCUACAAUGGGCGGUACAACGGGAUGCGAAGCCGCGAGGUGGAGCCAAACCCUGAAAACCGUUCGUAGCUCGGAUUGUAGGCUGCAACUCGCCUACAUGAAGCCGGAAUUGCUAGUAAUCGCGGAUCAGCAUGCCGCGGUGAAUCCGUUCCCGGGCCUUGCACACACCGCCCGU
rnacentral:rRNA from 1 species